rnacentral:rRNA from 1 species
UACGGAGGGUGCAAGCGUUGCUCGGAAUCACUGGGCGUAAAGCGACCGCAGGCGGCCUGACAAGUCGGAUGUGAAAGCCCCGGGCUCAACCUGGGAACUGCAUUUGAAACUGGCGGGCUUGAGUGUGGCAGAGGGGGGUGGAAUUCCGCGUGUAGCAGUGAAAUGCGUAGAGAUGCGGAGGAACACCGAUGGCGAAGGCAGCCCCCUGGGCCAACACUGACGCUCAGGCACGAAAGCGUGGGGAGCAAACAGG